AAUGAGGGAGAUGAUGUCUUUCUCUGUGAGUACGAAUAUGAUAUCCAUCGGCACAGUUUCAAGCGUAUUGCAGAGAUU
rnacentral:snoRNA from 1 species